ensembl:rRNA 5S_rRNA 5S ribosomal RNA
UUCUACGGCCAUACCACCCUGAAUGAGCCCGAUCUCAUCUGAUCUCGGAAGCUAAGCAGGGUCUGGCCUGGUUAGUACUUGGAUGGGGGACACAGUCCCUUCUAAAUACAAAGGCAAGAAUCGAAAGAA